AUGGAGUUGGGGCUGAGCUGGAUUUUCCUUGUUGCUAUUUUUAAAGGUGUCCAGUGUGAGGUGCAGCUGGUGGAGCCUGGGGGAGGCUUGGUGCAGCCUGGAGGGGCUCUGAAACUCUCAUGUGCAGCUUCUGGAUUCACCUUCAGUAGCUAUGGCAUGAGCUGGGUUCUCCAGGCUCCAGGAAAGGGGCUGGAGUUUAUUGCAGCAAUUAGCAGCUGUGGUGGUAGCACAUACUACCCAGACUCUGUGAAGGGCCAAUUCACCAUCUCCAGAGAAAAUAACAAGAACCAGCUGUAUCUGCAAAUGAACAGCCUGAGUGCUGAGGACACAGCCAUGUAUUACUGUAGUGUGGCAAUCAUUUCUCACAAAUGUAGUCCAAACUUCUGGGGUUGGGAAACCCCCAUCUAA